rnacentral:rRNA from 1 species
GACGAACGCUGGCGGCGUGCAUAAUACAUGCAAGUAGAACGCUGAGGUUUGGUGUUUACACUAGACUGAUGAGUUGCGAACGGGUGAGUAACGCGUAGGUAACCUGCCUCAUAGCGGGGGAUAACUAUUGGAAACGAUAGCUAAUACCGCAUAAGAGUAAUUAACACAUGUUAGUUAUUUAAAAGGAGCAAUUGCUUCACUGUGAGAUGGACCUGCGUUGUAUUAGCUAGUUGGUGAGGUAAAGGCUCACCAAGGCGACGAUACAUAGCCGACCUGAGAGGGUGAUCGGCCACACUGGGACUGAGACACGGCCCAGACUCCUACGGGAGGCAGCAGUAGGGAAUCUUCGGCAAUGGACGGAAGUCUGACCGAGCAACGCCGCGUGAGUGAAGAAGGUUUUCGGAUCGUAAAGCUCUGUUGUUAGAGAAGAACGUUGGUAGGAGUGGAAAAUCUACCAAGUGACGGUAACUAACCAGAAAGGGACGGCUAACUACGUGCCAGCAGCCGCGGUAAUACGUAGGUCCCGAGCGUUGUCCGGAUUUAUUGGGCGUAAAGCGAGCGCAGGCGGUUCUUUAAGUCUGAAGUUAAAGGCAGUGGCUUAACCAUUGUACGCUUUGGAAACUGGAGGACUUGAGUGCAGAAGGGGAGAGUGGAAUUCCAUGUGUAGCGGUGAAAUGCGUAGAUAUAUGGAGGAACACCGGUGGCGAAAGCGGCUCUCUGGUCUGUAACUGACGCUGAGGCUCGAAAGCGUGGGGAGCAAACAGG